rnacentral:rRNA from 1 species
GAAAGCGUGGGUAGCAANCAGGAUUAGAUACCCUGGUAGUCCACGCCCUAAACGAUGUCGAUUAGCUGUUGGGCAACUUGAUUGCUUAGUAGCGUAGCUAACGCGUGAAAUCGACCGCCUGGGGAGUACGGUCGCAAGAUUAAAACUCAAAGGAAUUGACGGGGACCCGCACAAGCGGUGGAUGAUGUGGAUUAAUUCGAUGCAACGCGAAGAACCUUACCUGGUCUUGACAUGUACGGAAGAACUCAGAGACGAGUUUGUGCCUUCGGGAGCCGUAACACAGGUGCUGCAUGGCUGUCGUCAGCUCGUGUCGUGAGAUGUUGGGUUAAGUCCCGCAACGAGCGCAACCCUUGUCAUUAGUUGCCAUCAUUUAGUUGGGCACUCUAAUGAGACUGCCGGUGACAAACCGGAGGAAGGUGGGGAUGACGUCAAGUCCUCAUGGCCCUUAUGACCAGGGCUUCACACGUCAUACAAUGGUCGGUACAGAGGGUAGCCAAGCCGCGAGGUGGAGCCAAUCCCAGAAAACCGAUCGUAGUCCGGAUUGCACUCUGCAACUCGAGUGCAUGAAGUCGGAAUCGCUAGUAAUCGCAGGUCAGCAUACUGCGGUGAAUACGUUCCCGGGUCUUGUACACACCGCCCGUCACACCAUGGGAGUGGGGGAUACCAGAAGUAGGUAGGGUAACCGCAAGGAGCCCGC